rnacentral:lncRNA from 1 species
UGGCCAGGAAGACGAAGCUGGGCGCGACCUCGCUGGGCUGCCCCGCGCGCUUCAUGGGCACCUCGGAUCCAAACUGCUUCACCUUCUCCUCCGGGAAGGAGGCCGGGAUGAGCGGCGUCCAGAUGGGCCCCGGCGCCACGCCGUUGACGCGGAUCUCCUUCUCCGCCAGCUGCAUCGACAGCGCGCGGGUGAAGGCCACGAUGGCGCCCUUGGUGGCCGUGUAGUCCAGCAGCGUCGCGUUGCCCUUGUACGCGUUCACGGAGGUGGUGUUGAUGAUGCUGGACCCGGGCCCCAUGUGCUUCACCGCGAACUUGGCCAUGAGGAAGUAGGAGAAGAUGUUGGUGCGGAACACGCGCUCCAGGUCCUGCUCGCUGAUCUCGGUGAUGCA